UACGUAGGGUCCGAGCGUUGUCCGGAAUUACUGGGCGUAAAGAGCUUGUAGGCGGUUCGUCGCGUCGGUUGUGAAAACUUGGGGCUCAACCUUAAGCUUGCAGGCGAUACGGGCGGACUAGAGUACUUCAGGGGAGACUGGAAUUCCUGGUGUAGCGGUGAAAUGCGCAGAUAUCAGGAGGAACACCGGUGGCGAAGGCGGGUCUCUGGGAAGUAACUGACGCUGAGAAGCGAAAGCAUGGGUAGCAAACAGG
rnacentral:rRNA from 1 species